GAUGAACGCUGGCGGCGUGCUUAACACAUGCAAGUCGAACGGUGAAGGCGGAGCUUGCCCUGCUGGAUCAGUGGCGAACGGGUGAGUAACACGUGAGCAAUCUGCCCCUGACUCAGGGAUAAGCGCUGGAAACGGCGGCUAAUACUGGAUACGAGCUGCUAAGGCAUCUUCAGCAGCUGGAAAGGAGUUCGGUAAGGGAUGGUCUCGCGGCCUAUCAGCUUGUUGGUGAGGUAAUGGCCCACCAAGGCAUCGACGGGUAGCCGGCCUGAGAGGGUGGCCGGCCACACUGGGACUGAGAGACGGCCCAGACUCCUACGGGAGGCAGCAGUGGGGAAUAUUGCACAGUGGGCGAAAGCCUGAUGCAGCAACGCCGCGUGCGGGAAGACGGCCUUCGGGUUGUAAACCUCUUUUAGCAGGGAAGAAGCGAAAGUGACGGUACCUGCAGAAAAAGCGCCGGCUAACUACGUG
rnacentral:rRNA from 1 species